ensembl:misc_RNA Metazoa_SRP Metazoan signal recognition particle RNA
GCCAGGCAUGGUGGCACGUGCCUGUAGUCCCAGCUACUUGGGAGGCUGAGGCAGAAGAAUCGCUUGAACCCAGGAGGGAGAGGUUGCGGUGAGCUGAGAUCGUGGCCACUGCACUCCAGCCUGGGUGACAGAGCGAGACUCUGUCUCAA